UACGGGGGGGUAAGCGUUGUUCGGAAUUACUGGGCGUAAAGGGCUCGUAGGCUGCCAACUAAGUCAUACGUGAAAUCCCUCAGCUUAACUGGGGAACUGCGUGUGAUACUGGAUGGCUUGGAUUUGGGAGAGGGAUGCGGAAUUCCAGGUGUAGCGGUGAAAUGCGUAGAUAUCUGGAGGAACACCGGUGGCGAAGGCGGCAUCCUGGACCAAUAUUGACGCUGAGGAGCGAAAGCUAGGGGAGCAAACGGG
rnacentral:rRNA from 1 species